rnacentral:rRNA from 1 species
CCUACGGGAGGCAGCAGUAGGGAAUCUUCCGCAAUGGACGAAAGUCUGACGGAGCAACGCCGCGUGAGUGAUGAAGGUUUUCGGAUCGUAAAACUCUGUUGUUAGGGAAGAACAAGUACGAGAGUAACUGCUCGUACCUUGACGGUACCUAACCAGAAAGCCACGGCUAACUACGUGCCAGCAGCCGCGGUAAUACGUAGGUGGCAAGCGUUGUCCGGAAUUAUUGGGCGUAAAGCGCGCGCAGGCGGUCCUUUAAGUCUGAUGUGAAAGCCCACGGCUCAACCGUGGAGGGUCAUUGGAAACUGGGGGACUUGAGUGCAGAAGAGAAGAGUGGAAUUCCACGUGUAGCGGUGAAAUGCGUAGAGAUGUGGAGGAACACCAGUGGCGAAGGCGACUCUUUGGUCUGUAACUGACGCUGAGGCGCGAAAGCGUGGGGAGCAAACAGGAUUAGAUACCCUGGUAGUCCACGCCGUAAACGAUGAGUGCUAAGUGUUAGAGGGUUUCCGCCCUUUAGUGCUGCAGCAAACGCAUUAAGCACUCCGCCUGGGGAGUACGGCCGCAAGGCUGAAACUCAAAGGAAUUGACGG